rnacentral:rRNA from 1 species
UACGUAGGGGGCGAGCGUUUGUCCGGAUUUAUUGGGCGUAAAGAGCUCGUAGGCGGUUUGGUAAGUUGGAUGUGAAAUCUCCAGGCUCAACUUGGAGGGGUCAUUCGAUACUGCCAUGACUAGAGUUCGGUAGGGGAGUGUGGAAUUCCUGGUGGAGCGGUGAAAUGCGCAGAUAUCAGGAGGAACACCCGUAGCGAAGGCGGCACUCUGGGCCGGAACUGACGCUGAGGAGCGAAAGCGUGGGGAGCGAACAGG